GACGAACGCUGGCGGCGUGCUUAACACAUGCAAGUCGAACGGAAAGGCCCCCAUCUUGGUGGGGGUGCUCGAGUGGCGAACGGGUGAGUAACACGUGGGUGAUCUGCCCUGUACUUCGGGAUAAGCUUGGGAAACUGGGUCUAAUACCGGAUAGGACCAUGGUUUGUUUUCUAUUGUGGGAAGAUUUUUGUUUUUGUUCAAGAUGGGCUUGCGGCCCAACAGCUUGUUGGUGGGGUAAUGGCCCACCAAGGCGUCGACGGGUUGCCGGCCUGAGAGGGUGGACGGCCACAUUGGGACUGAGAUACGGCCCAGACUCCUACGGGAGGAAGCAGUGGGGAAUAUUGCACAAUGGGCGCAAGCCUGAUGCAGCGACGCCGCGUGGGGGAUGACGGCCUUCGGGUUGUAAACUCCUUUCGUUAGGGACGAAGCCACGCUUUUUGGGUGUGGUGACGGUACCUUUGUUAAGAAGCACCGGCUAACUACGUG
rnacentral:rRNA from 1 species